AGGGGUGGGGGGGAAGGCUUAUCUGGAACAGUCAUGUUGUUAGUAACUGCAAUUAAUUUCUCUCCUAUUUACUGGGGGCUAAUGGAUACAGCAGUUGAAUUCAUCGCAGCCAUUGAGUUCAUCAGGAUCAUGAUGGUGUGAGACGUUUCCGUCUCUGAACUUUCAGUUCCUGAGACAUCUAAAGGUGUCCGAGUGUUUUGCCUGCCUGUAUGAACAUAUACUAUGAGUGCUGUGCCUUGGAGCUGGAAUGAACAUAGUUCUGUGCAUGAAUCCUCUGAAAGAGCGACAGGGUUUCUCUGUGUAGCCCUGGCUGUCCUGAAACUCAUUCUGAAGAUCAGGCUGGCUGCCUGGCAUAGAUGACUUUUUUAUGUGAGAAAUACACUAGUCUAGAGAAACAUGACUGGCCUGAACAACUGGUUUUUAAUGAUAGCAUAUGUUACCUGCUAUUUGAGACAAGAUUCUCUGUGGAACCAUGGCUAUCCUUGAACUCACAGAGAUUCAUUGCUGCUGGGAGUAAAGUUUACAGGACCACCAUAUCUGACAUGAAAAUUCAAAGCACACUUAGAAGACUUUGUGUUCUCUAGAGAAGUUAGCAGGAUUGUUUAAAUUUUGAGAACUGGCCACACCAGACACAGAAUCAAGAUAAAACUCAACUGAUAAAACACAGAAAUGCUCAAGUGAGGUCAUGAACAAACAGUAAGUCAAUCACCUGCUUUGUACCCAUCUGUCUACUCACAAAGGCAGAAAUAUGAUGGUAGGUGGAACGGUUGGUUUUCAAUGAAGGAAUUCUGUUUAUGUCAAUGUUCUGGAAAAUAGGAAAUAACAUACAGUUAAAAGUUAAUGCGAAAAGUACAAUUGCUUUUUAUUUUUUGCAACAAUAUUUUGCUAUGUAGCCUGAGACCAGCCUGGACUUAUUAUGGCAAGUCUCCUGCCUCAAUGUGCUGGGAAUAGUGUGCGCUGUCACAGAACUGUGAGUUAACCUACACUAUAGUUUGUUCUCAAGUUGUUUUAUUUUAAUCCCCACUAGAAGAUGCUAGGAGGGAACAAGGUAGAAACUUCAGGGGUGAUUAGGGCAGCUCUUUUGAUGAAUAGAUUAAUCCUUUCAAGUGUUUAAUGGAUUCCAAGGCUGACUGUUUUUAAAGUGAAUCUGCUACAAAAGCCAGUUUGCUCAGACCUCCUUGUUUAUGGCUUUCAUGCUCUCCAUCAACUUGUGACUGCCAGUAAGAAGACCACCACCAGAUGCAGCCCAUUCAUCCUGGAGAAACAUAGUCUUUUCUCUGUGAAUUACUUUGCCUAUUGCACUGUAUUAUUAGAAACAGAAAAUGCACUAAAAUAAGACUUAAAAUCCGCUUAAUAAUGAAAGCAAUCUUUUCAUCCAAAGUUAAAAUUACUUCAUGUUAAUAAAAAUACUAGAUCUUCAAUUCUUCAAA
rnacentral:sRNA from 1 species